UGUAUGCUCUAUAAUAAUAAUAAAAAAAAAAGGUAUUAAAAAAAGGCGCAACCAACAACAAAUUUAUAUAAAAAGGGCAGAGCACUUGCCACACAAAACGAUUUACACGACACUAAAGCUAAAAACGGAAUAAAAAGAAAUUGAGGAGGUGAGAGAGCGACUUCAUGGAUGAGAGUAGCAGCAGAAGCAGCUACAACAAUAACAGGCGCGUUAAGGCCGCGGCAGAGGAGACAAGUACCCAAGCUAAAGGGAUCUGGCAACAACAACGCGACGCACAAUGUGCCAAUUGGGCAGCUGCUGCACAAUCCAAUUGGAAUACUCAAUGGCAGGCGGAAAAGUGGUCAAAAAACAAAAAGAAAAAUGAAGGAACGCAAGGCAUAUACAAAUAUGCAGCAAAAUGCUCGCGCAUUUGGCAAAAAAUCAAUUUUCCGUGUGAUUGCCAAAUGCAAUUGCCGCAAGAAUGAGGCGCAACAACACACAGGCACACACACACAUGGGGACACACAUGACAAAAAAAAAGGAGUGAAGAAAAGUGAAACGAAUCGAAGAAAACCUUCUUGGGUGUCCCUGGACAGACACGACACGAGUCAAUUGCAGCCCUAGAAAACAGCCUUACAGCUGUGUAGCACGCCUUACGCAGUGUUUUGUUGCCUGUUUUGCCUUUUGGCUUUUCCAUAAGUUUUACUGUUAAUUAUUGACAUAACAAAUGCGGCCCCAACUAGAACUGAUGACGGCAACAACAGCAGAUCCAAUCAGAACCACCACUCUCACACACAUACACACACACAUAAGCGCUUGCUGGAGAAAAAGAGAAGCGAAAAGGCACACGCGAAAUUGCUUAUAUUAAACUUGACGAAAUAAAAGGGCGCACAUAAAGUCAGGCAUAUGAAACUAGCUGUAUAAUUUUCAACAUUUAUUGUCCUUUCUGUGGGUUGUUUUGUGCAAGCGAAAUGGAAUGAAAAUGAAUGAAAAUGUGAGCCUACCGCACUCUAUUUUAUUUGGAUUGACACGCACACACACACAAAUCACGUAAGCAUCAAAUUUAAAUGCACUUAAUUACAUUUAAUUCGUGUUUGCUUUUGUUUUUUAUAUGGAGAGGACGGCGAAGGGCGGCCGACCAGGCAAAGUGCCGCUGUAACACAAACCGUACGUACGUGCGCGUCCGUCUGACAGUCCCAUUGGAUGCGCUCUCUGCUGCUGCUUCUUCUACUACUUGUUUUUAGUUAUGCGUGUGCGCCAAGUUUCGCGUGCCAAUAGUUUUUGCACGUGCAGCGAUACUAUCGAUAUGUUUCUUUUGAGCUCAUCGACAAUUAUCUAAAAGCAGUAAUUUGAAAUCAAGAGAUAGCAAAAUAGUCAUAUGCGUUAAAAGCGGAGCCAAGUGCAGAAAGCCUAUACUUUAACUGCUUUUCGAUCGAUAAAUAGCGCGUAAUUAUCGAUAUACGGACAAAACCGUGCAAUCGCUAGUGAUUGGCGGCCAAAACAAAAAAUGAAAUUUCAGUUAGCUAAUGGCUGUGGUUUUAUAAAUAAGAAAUAAAAAGAAUAAGCGGUGCUUACUUUGCUGUUGUUUA